GUGAGUUAUACUGAAGUCUGAAGAGCAUUACAGAAAUAGAUUUAUUUUUUUUCAAUUGAGGUCUUCAGAGUAGAGCUUAAGAAAACUGAAGUAAUAAUAUCUUAUGUGCGAUUUCAUAUAUAUAUAUACACAUAUAAGCUUUUGCUUUUUAGCUUAUUUGAAUGAUGGGAGACUCAUGAUGUAGUUUCAAUGUAAGUGUAAUAAAUGUAGCCUUUUUGGGAGGCAUAGUGUGUGGACAUCUUUUUUUUUUUUUUUCCCCUUUCAGCUUCAUUUACCUCUUAAUUCUCCUUUGCCUGGAAGUGAAUUGACCAAGGAACCUUUUCGUUGG
rnacentral:lncRNA from 1 species